ensembl:miRNA
AGGAGACUGCCAGACUGACUUCUCUUUUGAGACAACAUGCUUCUUUAUAUCCCCAUAUGAAUUACGCUGCUAUGGAAUGUAAGGAAGUGUGUGGUUUCAGGGAGA